AUGGAUCUCCUUAGUAUCCAGAUUGGCUCUUUACUGCAACCAGUUGUUUUACGAAAAGAUAACAACGAGUCUUUCCUACGACGACGACAGGUGCCUGUAGUACAGCCAACCAGCACUCGCGGAAUCCACACAAAAAAGGUAUUUCUACUGCAUCUUGCCUAUGCCGCACGCCAUCGCUCAUCCAUAUAUUUAUAUGGACAUAUUAUAUUCCUCCCUUUACAUUUGUGUGUAUAAGGUAGUUGUUGUGAAUUUGUUAGAUUACUUGUUAGAUGUUACUGCAUAGUCGGAACUAGAAGCACAAGCAUUUUGCUACACUCGCAUUAACAUCUGCUAACCAUGUGUAUGUGACCAAUAAAAUUUGAUUUGAUAAGGAGCAUUGGUGGCAAAUCUGAUGGCCGAAUGGUAAAGAGCAUCUAGCCGCUCAAGAGCACCUUUACCUGCCGAUCUAUAAAUUACGUCUCUGUAAUCUAGCAUGGGUAGGAUGGUCAUCUGAAUCAGGGUUAGUUUGGCAGCUGGGGUGAAAGAGGAGCGAUUACGAUAGAGGAAACCAAGUCUAGAUUUAACCUUAUUCUGCAGCUUUGAUAUGUGCUGAGAGAAGGACAGUUUGUCUAGCCAUACUCCCAAGUACUUGUAUGAGGUGACUACCUCAAGCGCUAAACCCGCAGAGGUAGUAAUCACACCGGUAGGGAGAGGAUCAUUCUUCUUCCCAAACCACACAACCUUUGUUUUGGAGGUGUUCAGAACAAGGUUAAGGGCCUAGAAAGCUUUGUUGUAGAACAUUUAACACAAAAUCCGGGAAGGGGCCAGCUGAGUAUAAGACUAUCAUCUGCAUAUAAAUGGAUGAGAGAGCUUCCUACUGCUUGAGCUAUAUUGUUGAUGUAAAUUGAGAAGAGCGUGGGGCCUAGGAUUGAGGCAUGGUGACAGGCAGUGGCGGAGACAGCAGAUGUUCUGAAUUUAUACACUGCACUCUUUGAGAGAGGUAGGUAGCAAAACAGGCCAAAGACCCUCAGCGUCACCAUUACUCCUUAGCCGGCUCACGAGAAUGGAAUAGUCUACAGUAUCAAAAGCUUUGGUCAAGUCAAUAAAAAUAUCAGCACAACAUUGCUUAGUCAGGGGCAUUUAGGACCUUUAAGGUUGCCGUGACACAUCCAGAGAAAAUACUAUAGACAUCAAGAAAGCCAAUCAGUUGAUAUUUGACAAGUUUUUCCAACACUUUUGAUAAACAGGGCAAAAUAGAAAUUGGUCUAUAACAGUUAGGAUCAGCUUGAUCUCCCACUUUAAAUAAAGGAUGCA
rnacentral:lncRNA from 13 species